UACGAAGGGGGCUAGCGUUGCUCGGAAUACUGGGCGUAAAGCGUGCGCAGGCGGUGAUGUAAGACAGGUGUGAAAUCCCCGGGCUUAACCUGGGAACUGCAUUUGUGACUGCAUCGCUGGAGUGCGGCAGAGGGGGAUGGAAUUCCGCGUGUAGCAGUGAAAUGCGUAGAUAUGCGGAGGAACACCGAUGGCGAAGGCAAUCCCCUGGGCCUGCACUGACGCUCAUGCACGAAAGCGUGGGGAGCAACAGG
rnacentral:rRNA from 1 species